CAAUAGCGUAUAUUUAAGUUGUUGCAGUUAAAAAGCUCGUAGUUGGAUUUCGGGUUGGCUUCAGCGGUCUCGCUUUGCGUUUGUACUGCCGCAGCCUUCCUUCUUGCUGGGGACGAUCCUCCGGGCUUCAUUGCUUGGGGUCUGGAAUCAGCGACGCUACUUUGAGUAAAUUAGAGUGUUCAAAGCAAGCCUACGCUCUGAAUAUAAUAGCAUGGGAUAACACGACAGGACUCUGGCCUAUCGUGUUGGUCUGUAGGACCAGAGUAAUGAUUAAGAGGGACAGUCGGGGGCAUUCGUAUUCCGUUGUCAGAGGUGAAAUUCUUGGAUUUACGGAAGACGAACAUCUGCGAAAGCAUUUGCCAAGGAUGUUUUCAUUGA
rnacentral:rRNA from 1 species